ACGCUCGACACCUACGGGAGCAGCAGUGGGGAAUAUUGCACAAUGGGGGAAACCCUGAUGCAGCGACGCCGCGUGAGCGAAGAAGUAUUUCGGUAUGUAAAGCUCUAUCAGCAGGGAAGAAACUGACGGUACCUGACUAAGAAGCACCGGCUAAAUACGUGCCCGCAGCCGCGGUAAUCUGAGCGGGCUGGCAAGGC
rnacentral:rRNA from 1 species